GAUGAACGCUGGCGGCGUGCCUAAUACAUGCAAGUCGAGCGCACGGACGAUACGCUUGCUUCUUUGAUCUUAGCGUCGGACUGGUGAGUAGCACAUUGAUGACCUACCUAUCAGCCUGGUAUAGCUUCGGGGCACCUGAGCUCGUACCGUAUAAUCUUUUGAACCUCAUGGUUCAAAAGUAAAUGACGGUAUUGCUCUAACUUAUAGAUGCAUCGUCGCGGCAUUAGCUAUUUGCUAGGGUAACGGCUUACCAAGCCAACGAUGCAUAGCCGACGGGAGAGGGUGAUGGGCAACACUGGAACUGAGAAACGGUCCAGACUCCUACGGGAGGCAGCAGUAGGGAAUCUUCCGAAAUGGGCGAAAGCCGGACGGAGAAACGCCGCGUGAUGGAGGAAGGUUUUCGGAUCUUAAAACCUGGUGAUUAGGGAAGAACAGAUGUGGAAGUAACUGUGCACAUCGUGACGGUACCUAAUCAGAAAGCGACGGCUAACUACGUG
rnacentral:rRNA from 1 species